rnacentral:tRNA from 1 species
GCCGAUUUAGCUCAGUAGGUAGAGCAGCUCACUUGUAAUGAGAAGGUCGUGGGUUCAAUUCCUACAACCAGCACCA